GAUGAACGCUGGCGGCGUGCCUAAUACAUGCAAGUCGAGCGAACAGACGAUGAGCUUGCUCCUCUGUCGUUAGCGGCGGACGGGUGAGUCACACGUGGAUCACCUCCCUAUCAUACUGGGAUAACUUCGGAAAUCCGGCGCUAAUCCCGUAUAAUCUCUUGAUCCGCAUUGUUGACUAGUGAAAGUCGGUUUUUCUGUCACUUCUCGCUGGAUCCGCGCCGCAUUAUCUAGUUGGUAAGUUAACGCCUUACCACGGAAACGAUGCGUAGCCGACGUGAGAGGGUGAUAGGCCACACGGGAACGGAGACGGGGUCAAGACGACUACGGGAGGGAGCAGAAGGGAACGGGACGCAAUGGGCGAAAGCAUGACGGAGCAACGCCGAGUGAGUGAUAAAGGUCUUCGGAGCGUAAAACCCUGUUAUGAGGGAAGAACAAAUGUGUAAGGAAACAUGCACGUCUUGACGGUAACUAAUCAGAAAGCAACGGCUAACUACGUG
rnacentral:rRNA from 1 species